AACAAACGCUGGCGGCAGGCCUAACACAUGCAAGUCGAGCGGAUGAAGAGAGCUUGCUCUCUGAUUUAGCGGCGGACGGGUGAGUAAUGCCUAGGAAUCUGCCUGGUAGUGGGGGAUAACGUUCCGAAAGGAACGCUAAUACCGCAUACGUCCUACGGGAGAAAGCAGGGGACCUUCGGGCCUUGCGCUAUCAGAUGAGCCUAGGUCGGAUUAGCUAGUUGGUGAGGUAAAGGCUCACCAAGGCGACGAUCCGUAACUGGUCUGAGAGGAUGAUCAGUCACACUGGAACUGAGACACGGUCCAGACUCCUACGGGAGGCAGCAGUGGGGAAUAUUGGAUAAUGGGCGAAAGCCUGAUCCAGCCAUGCCGCGUGUGUGAAGAAGGUCUUCGGAUUGUAAAGCACUUUAAGUUGGGAGGAAGGGCAGUAAGUUAAUACCUUGCUGUUUUGACGUUACCGACAGAAUAAGCACCGGCUAACUUCGUGCCAGCCGCCGCAGUAAAAC
rnacentral:rRNA from 1 species